GCUGUUGAAAAUAUACUGUGUUUACCUCGUGGCACUGUCAAUUAGCUUUCGCUGUAUGAAACAGUUUCAGUUGUAAGUGGUCCUUUGGGCGGUCACGUCGUCUAACUACUUAACCAUCCCGUAUCUGAAGCAACAUGUGGAGACAGCUGUGCGUAGCGGCGCUUCUGACCACCCUUCUCUGCGCAGCUGAACACAGGCGAGAGGAUCGUCACCCGCGUUCGGCAGAUACAUUCUGGAUCAGUGGUCGGUAUGGGCGCUCACUGCGUGCACUGACAGAGUUCACUGCGAGAAAUAACAGGUUCUUCUUAACCAAUCGGUAUGGAAAGAGAGCAGAGGCAUUCGGCGCUCGGUCGGCCAAUCAGCUCACCGAUCGGUGGAAGAAGCGACUCGUAUGUGACUGCAUGCCUAGCGAACAUUACAAGCGAAACGUGUACAGAGCCUCAGUGUAAACCGUGAUUUAAGUUUGUAUUCUUUCUUAUCUUCCGCUUACGAGACGACAAUACUUGAUAAUAUUUUUACUGGUCGUGAGAAAAUUGGGCUGAAAUGUAUGCGCAAAGUAAUAUGUAAUCAUGUGUGUGUUUUACAACGUCUUUGUGCUUAUUUCCUAUCAGUUUGUAUGAAGGAUUUAGGCUGGAAUUUACAUACAAACUGAAAGCUCAUAUUCUUAUCGUCGUGUGUGUGGAUUAAUUAAAAUAUAUAUCCCACGACCAUAAUACAACAUAAGUCGUGUCUUUAAAUAAUAAUCCCAAAAGGCAAUCGGCAUGUAGUAAAGUAAAAAAAUUAAAUGUAUUAUAAAUUAUUACAUAUUAACUAAGAGAUGUUAUUAUAAUAAAAAG